rnacentral:misc_RNA from 1 species
CACUGUUGUUAUUACACUUGUACAGCAGCACUAAUGGGUGGGAGGGCAGGGCUUCUAUCUCCUCAUCAAGAGGACCACAGUAUGAGCAGCAAUACUUCUGUUUUCGCCGAGGCUGUCAACUUUCUCAUGUGUUUUCGCCUUCAGAUUCACGACAGAGGGGUCGGCUCCCAGGAGCUCAGAAAGGUUUGCUCUGAUAGCUUCCUUGUGAGGGCUAAGCUUUGGUCUUUGAAGUAUUAAUGUGGCAUCCAAGUUGCCUAUGUCAUAACCUGCCUCAUGCAUCAG